UGGCGGCGUGCCUAACACAUGCAAGUCGAACGGACGAGGGGAGCUUGCUCCCCAAGUUAGUGGCGGACGGGUGAGUAACACGUGAGCAACCUGCCCUUCGGAGGGGGACAACAGCUGGAAACGGCUGCUAAUACCGCAUGAUGUAUCCUGGGGGCAUCUCCGGGAUACCAAAGAUUUAUCGCCGAAGGAUGGGCUCGCGUCUGAUUAGAUAGUUGGUGGGGUAACGGCCUACCAAGUCGACGAUCAGUAGCCGGACUGAGAGGUUGAACGGCCACAUUGGGACUGAGAUACGGCCCAGACUCCUACGGGAGGCAGCAGUGGGGAAUAUUGGGCAAUGGGGGCAAACCCCCUGACCCAGCAACGCCGCGUGAAGGAAGAAGGCUUUCGGGUUGUAAACUUCUUUGACGAGGGACGAUAGUGACGGUACCUCGAAAACAAGCCACGGCUAACUACGUGCCAGCAGCAGC
rnacentral:rRNA from 1 species